CGCACGGGUGAGUAACACGUGAGUGACCUGCCUUUUAGACUGGAACAACUUACCGAAAGGUGAGCUAAUGCCGGAUGAGUUAUAUAAGUGCAUGUUUAUAUAGGAAAAGUUGGGGAGACCUGACGCUGAAAGAUGGACUCGCGUCCCAUUAGCUAGUUGGUAGGGUAAUGGCCUACCAAGGCGACGAUGGGUAGCCGGCCUGAGAGGGUGGCCGGCCACACUGGGACUGAGACACGGCCCGGACUCCUACGGGAGGCAGCAG
rnacentral:rRNA from 1 species